rfam:Camelus ferus unplaced genomic scaffold scaffold1533, whole genome shotgun sequence.
GGGUGUAUAGGUCAGUGGUAGAGCGCAUGCUUAGCGUGCACAAGGUCCUGGGUUCAAUUCCCAGUACCUCCA